rnacentral:rRNA from 1 species
AUUGAACGCUGGCGGCAUGCUUUACACAUGCAAGUCGAACGGUAACAGGUUAAGCUGACGAGUGGCGAACGGGUGAGUAAUGCAUCGGAACGUGCCCGGUCGUGGGGGAUAACACUUCGAAAGAAGUGCUAAUACCGCAUACGAUCUGAGGAUGAAAGCGGGGGACCGUAAGGCCUCGCGCGAUCGGAGCGGCCGAUGUCAGAUUAGGUAGUUGGUGGGGUAAAGGCCUACCAAGCCGACGAUCUGUAGCUGGUCUGAGAGGACGACCAGCCACACUGGGACUGAGACACGGCCCAGACUCCUACGGGAGGCAGCAGUGGGGAAUUUUGGACAAUGGGCGCAAGCCUGAUCCAGCAAUGCCGCGUGCAGGAAGAAGGCCUUCGGGUUGUAAACUGCUUUUGUACGGAGCGAAAAGGCUCUCUCUAAUACAGGGGGCUGAUGACGGUACCGUAAGAAUAAGCACCGGCUAACUACGUGCCAGCCGCCGCGGUAAAAC